rnacentral:lncRNA from 1 species
UUAAAAAAGAGGGUGCCGAGCAAGCUUAUUGAGGUAAUGCAGAAGCAGCACCAAAAGAGGUUUCUGCUGAAAAAGGGUGAGCUGGGGAAGCAGUUUAUAUGACUGCUUGAAACAAAGGGAAGGUGUGGAGGGGUGGGGAGGGAUAAUGGGGACAAGAUAUAUGAUUAGAAAGUGAGUUCUGUGAGCUGUGUGGACUGUGGGGCAACAGGGGCUGUUUGGACAGGGUGUCCUUGAGGCCCAGUUCUUUAAUUAGCAAGCAGGAUGAUGAUGUAAGAUUGUGGUCAUUUGGUGAAGAUCAGCAGACUGACUUUGCUGGUGUCAGCUUGAUCUCUUUGUUAUAGUUCUUCCUCCCAGGCUGGGGCAGGGUUUUUAUCAGCACCGCAAAAGAUUAUUGGUAUGUCAACCCGUUUCAGUUAACCUCCGUUUCUUCAUUAUAAUUCCCUGGAUAAAAUGGAAGCUCAAGCAAAUCAAGAUGAUGGCCAGGAAGCUCAGCGUAUUGGAAAUCCUUCUGAUCGUCUUCUUCCUGAUUGUACUGUGCGUAGACAUCUUUUUGCUGUUACUCCUGUUGGAGAAUCCAGGUAAUGGAGAUGCUUGUGGUUGCUGGGUUGGAAAGGUUGGUAGUGAAAGUCUUUUGAAUGUGAAAGGUAUUUUGACUCCUUUACUCUUCAGCAAGCCACCACAUUCCAUUAUUCAAAAGCCAAAUUUAUAAUAGUCUCUAAAAAAUAAAGGAUAUUUUCUUUUACUCCAACAAAUCUUUGAAUAUUAGUGAUACUCAGGGUUUCCCAAGACUGAUUUGGUGUAAUUCUACAAGGAUGCAGAAUUAGGCUCACCAGAUGCUUAUCUUUCAAUCCAGAGUCAUGAAGUCAUAGAGCCCUCAAGGAGAAAGAAGAGUAAAGGCAAUAGUGCCCAAACCCUUUACUUUAUGGAGGAUGAAACUAGGCUCCAGGGAAGAUGAGGGAUGAUUAACUUGGCCUAAAUGUAUGUUAUACUUAGCCACCAGUUUAGAGUCAUCCAUAUUCUGACUAAAAUCACUAUAAUUUUUUCACAGAUACUUUUGAAACUGCUCUCUCUCUCUUACAGAAGCAUCAAACAGAAUGUGCUGUCCUUCAUGCACACAUUAUACUCUAAAUAAUAAAACAAUAUAUGUAACAUACAAAUCUAUUUUCAAUUAAAGCUGAAUUUUGGGCUUGUUCUAUUUGAUAAAGUUGGCUUUACAGAUCUAAAUUAUGCCUUGAGUGAAAAGAAAGUGUACUGAUAGCAGAACACUACCUUUUCAGUUCUCUUUUCAUCAUCCUUCAUGGCAAACAUUAGGCACCUGCCAGAAACAAUUACGAUAUAGAAAGAAGAUUUGAAAUGCAUUGCACCAAACCAUUCUUGAACCUGUUACCACUUUUGCCCCAUAGUACUUUUUGGAGUAACAAGUCCCACGAGGUUACUACCUCAUGAAUAUGAAGAAAUAGUUCUUUAUUUAAUAUAAAACUAAAUAUUUACACCUGCUUUCAUCCUAAACCACACUCCAAUUCACCCAGAG